AUCUACCUGACGAGUCCCGAAUAGGACGAAACACACGUCUCGGAU
rnacentral:hammerhead_ribozyme from 1 species